UCUUAGGGAUGAGAGAAGAAAGUGGUUUCUUCAGAUGGAAUCUACUCCUGGUGAAGGUGCUGUGAA
rnacentral:pre_miRNA from 1 species